CAUCAGUCCCUAUUGGUCGCUCAGACGUGUUGGCCGCAAGAUCCAUUCGACAGAAUACGUCGCACUCUGUGGACUUGACCUACAACUGGAAUCCUGCUAGAGGACGCAAUUAACGCAAAUUGCGAUAAGAGCGCAAUCAUAACUAGACGCUGAGUCGAAGUUCGUUCUAAAUCGCGUUCCAAAAGUGAUUUGGGAUCGUAGAAGCAGCAUCCGACCCUUAUCUGUGAAUAACGAUCACAAUCAAGCACUGAUCACAAUAGCCAAAGGAAAAUUCGGUGGUUAAGCGCAUGGUGAUCCAGUCUAACAACGUCACAAAUUGGCGCAGAAUUCUACAAGACUUUCACGUGCAUAACCUCUAGAGCCGUGGAACCGCAUAACCGAACCAGAACGGAUUUAAUACAUUUGCUGGGCAACCGAUCUCCCUUGCGGAACAAUGACACAGAGCUGGAACUAGUGGUCGCGAGGUGAAAACACGCACACAAGCAAGAAACCCCAAACUGGGGUUUUGUUGCAGUUUCGGUUUGUCACGCGACACGACGAAGUGCAACUAAGCGACGCGACACAGUGCAGCAAAUAGGUGCAAGCCAGAGUCUAUGAAUGGAGAGUUUGGCGAAGAGACUUCUUUGAAUGGUUGUUCUUCUUCGUCUUCGAAAAUAGCCCCUAUCUGUUUUGCUGGUCUGCUCGAUAGGUAGACGGUUUGACAGUUCGAUAGGUAGAUUUUGUUUCACUCUUCGCGCAACUCUCCAUUCAUAAACUCUGGUGCAAGCAAGGAGACUGGUGAGGCACCGAGUGGCGAUAGGGAACAUUAUUUGAUCGGUGGCUUAGACCGAUUCGAGAAC